GCCACGUGUUGGCAGGAUUAGUCCUUGCGUGCUAAGAGCAAUGGAACAGCAAAGGAAGGAUGUCUAAGCAAGAGAAUCAGAAUCACUGCAGAAUCUAAUAGGAAUAUUGUUGGAGUUCACCCCAGUUAGAUCAGAAACCUAUUUCAAGGAAAUGAACAGAUGUUCGUGGAAUUAGGUUAACAUGACACACAACUUCUCUAUAUCUGGAUCACUUUGGGGUGUUUCUUCCAUGCACUUAUCCAAAGCUAACAGCAGAUAACUCUUCAAUAUUCUACGGGUUCCACCUGAAUGGGUAGUGCUCUAGAAGUAAAAAGAGUAUCCUCUCUUUUUAGUAGCUACCUAUCUUAUUGCAAAACACAGCACCUUAGUAUUGUCAAUAACUGUUAUGCAUCAGACAGUAUGAUAGAAAGGCUCAAGAGUGGUUAGAAGACUUCCUUCCAUGAAAAGGUAGAAUCCACCUGCUCCUUUUAAACUCCUGAAGACAUUGUAGUGAAACAGAGAUUAAUCAUAUGCCUCUUAAAUGGGAAUACUGCCUGGGAGAGAGAGACAUGAAAUCCCUCCACCUCUGAAAACCAGACGACAUACAGACAAACAGAUAGGUACAUAACCUGGAGGAAGAAUGAAUAAUCAUCAAGUUGUAGGUAGGGAUAUGAGAAGAAUGUCAAGCAGUGGGAAAUGAAGCAGAAGAAGACAGACCAAAUCCAUUAUUAUCUACAGAUCAGAAACAUGCUGAUAGGUACCAUUAACAACUUCUAAUGCAAAAUGGUCCAAUUUAAUUUUUUCUGUUAUGCAAAAGAGCUUAAAAGGUCAGAGGCCUGAAGGACCUACCUUAUAGAGAGAAAGGAGAGAGACAGUAUAAACAGGACAAACUUACACACAUGCCUGAAGUAAAUUGAAGAUCCUAUGGAGCUUGUUGAGUUGGAAAUGGAAGAGCAUAAAGAAGCCCUCAGUUGUAGAAUAAACCUGACUUAAAGGAGUAAAAAGGUGUGUGAGUCAUGCUUUACAGGUCAGGAAACAAAGGCAGACGUCAUGGAAAUGAUUUAUUUGUGGUCACACAGCAAAGCGCUGUCUGAGAUGGAUUUUGGCUCUGGAUUUCCACACACAAAUGAAACAUGAAGCUAGUUUGUUGCUUUCAUCCAAACAGCCUUGUACACAGUACCUCAUGCUGCUGAGGCAGAGCACGGACAAACUGAUGUGCUUGUACCAAUGCUGAUGGCACGCAAUCCCUGCCACAGACAUAAAUGGCUUCGUUGCUGCUGCAUGAAGUGCUAACACAAGCAGUGUGCACUUUGAGGCCCUGAGCAUCAUUAACAGUUUUUAUCGAUACUAUGAAGUUCUGCAACAAAAAUAAUAGGAUUUGUCAGGGGCUGUUAUGAACCGCCCCUGCUGGAUAAAUACAUAAUGCAUGAUGGCAAAGGUCUGAUGGGACUUUAAUCAAUUGCCUUUCUGAGUCAAAUAAAUGUCACAUUAGACGUAAGCCAUGUUGUAUUCUGUAGGGGUCUCUGCUCCCCUCGUCUCACAGGCCUGACACUGCCACGGGGAGCUAUGCACGCGCAUAGACUCCUACUUAUUUGCAGCAAAUAUAUCAGAGCAAAAUGGGAACAGCGUGCUGUAAAUUACAGAUUUGGGACACCUUAUAAUGAAAGGAAAAGGGGAACAGAAAGAAAUAUGGGGCCAUCAUUGGCAUGAGAGGUCAGCUCAAAUACAUCUCUGUGGUAGCUGGCAUUGUCAUCCCACCUUUGGAAGUCACUGCAGCAUAGCUCAUGUUUGUGCCCAUAGGGCAAGGGAGAAGCAAGUGUGCCAUUUCUUUGUGCACGUCAAAAGUACCGAGUCAACUUUAAAUGUUAAAGACACAUAAUUUAGGUUUUUUAUCAGCAAAAGAAAGCUCUUUGUUUCAGCACACACCUGAAAAGAAUCUGAAUAUCUCUUUGCACUUCAGCAUCUCUUUGAAGAAAUUCCAACAACGAGAACUCAACAUGAACAUAAAUUUGCAGGUUUAAUUCCUCUUCCAAAUAUGAAAGAGCUAUUUUUCUUCCUGUGCUAUGUUUUUUUUUUUUUUUUUAAAUUCCAGUAAGCAUAUAAACAGCCAUCUACUUUCCUCUCUGAACAGGUUGUAGGAAUGAAUUUAAAUUGUGAAAUGGAGAUCUGAAGUAACACAAAGUCCAGGCAUAUUUGGGCAUGAAGUUCUAAUCCUAAAUUUAAAAAUCCUCAUUAUUUUUGGCAAUCAGAAAAUACAGCUGAAAUACCUGAAAACAGUGCUUAAUAGGCU
ensembl:lncRNA